rnacentral:rRNA from 1 species
AGGCGACGACGGGUAGCCGGCCUGAGAGGGCGACCGGCCACACUGGGACUGAGACACGGCCCAGACUCCUACGGGAGGCAGCAGUGGGGAAUAUUGCACAAUGGGCGCWAGCCUGAUGCAGCGACGCCGCGUGAGGGAUGACGGCCUUCGGGUUGUAAACCUCUUUCAGCAGGGACGAAGCGUGAGUGACGGUACCUGCAGAAGAAGCACCGGCCAACUACGUGCCAGCAGCCGCGGUAAUACGUAGGGUGCAAGCGUUGUCCGGAAUUACUGGGCGUAAAGAGCUCGUAGGCGGUUUGUCGCGUCGUCUGUGAAAACCAGCAGCUCAACUGUUGGCUUGCAGGCGAUACGGGCAGACUUGAGUAUUUCAGGGGAGACUGGAAUUCCUGGUGUAGCGGUGAAAUGCGCAGAUAUCAGGAGGAACACCGGUGGCGAAGGCGGGUCUCUGGGAAAUAACUGACGCUGAGGAGCGAAAGCGUGGGUAGCGAACAGGAUUAGAUACCCUGGUAGUCCACGCCGUAAACGGUGGGCGCUAGGUGUGGGUUUCCUUCCACGGGAUCCGUGCCGUAGCUAACGCAUUAAGCGCCCCGCCUGGGRARUACGG